GAUGGGGGAGAAUAUCAUAAAAUUUCUAAUUUCAAUAAAAAUCACGAGAAAUUAUGAAGUUUUUGACAGAAUUGAAAUCAGAGUUUCGCAAUGUAUUUGAAUGUUCAACGGAAUCAUGAAUAUUCAAUCCCGAAUUAACUGUAAAUUCAAGAAUACAUUUAUCGGAAUUAUCCUGAUUUCCACUGAUUUUCAACGAAUAAUUCAAUUUAAAUUACGAUUCCCAUUGGGUUUCCGCAAAAGUUUGAAUUUUUAAUACUGAAAUUGCUUUCAGUUUUAGUGCAAAGUAAAGGGCGAUAAAACUCUCCCAAAUGUAGUACGAAAAUUUUAGGCGUAAAUUUAUGAGGGUGCAGGAUUUAUGAGAUAGUCAUUUGGGUUGAAGAGAAUAACUUAAUCUUGUCCAGGAAAAUAAUUCUCUGAUGAAGCUGUUUCAUUUGGGUCGUAAUGAGGAAUCAAAUUGAAAUAUAAAACGGUCCAAUAAUUAAAUAUCUACCGCCAAAGAGGGUUAAAUAGGUCUAAUAUUCGAAGACAAGUGUGGAAAUUAAUUUCAACACAAUAGAAAGAAUGAAGUCGGUAUUUUGUAACGCAAAUAACGAUCGAAUAAGACGAAGAAUAUUCUACCAGGUAAAAAUGAGUCACGCGAUUUUAUUGAGAAUGAUUUCAUUUUUCACGAUGACCAUAAAAUGAAAUAACUGAAAAUUGCAUAUUCAGAAGAAUUUCGAGAGAAAUAAAUUGACACAAUGAUGGACUACUGUUAAUAGAAGAGAAUAAUUUAAUCAGAAAUGAGUUCAGUCUUUAAGGAUAUGUGAAUCGAAAUUUCAAAGGAGAAUUUCUCAUUCAUCCUUUGAGGCGCAGACAAGGGAUAAUUCGAUUCAUCCCAUGAGCAUUAAUUGCCAUUACCCGAGGCUUUGGUUAUUCAAGUCUAGAAAGUUAAGAGUUAAAUUUUGCAUUUUGCUCAGAAAGUAGACAUAGUUUUUCCUUCAAAUCCCUACAAUAUCCCAUCACAUUUCAAAAAUAAAAGUGAAAAUUAGAACUACAAAUUUCAAAAAAUAAAACCAUUGCAAAGGUUCCACAAAGACGGAAAUAGUAAUUCAAGGAGAAAAAAUAAUGUUAUAAACGAGCAGUUGAAUCAUGACAUUUCAUUGGAAAUCACGUCUGUUCAUGUUCAGAUUAAGUGAAUAAAAUUUCCGAUAUUCGAGGAUUUGUUUCCAUUCAGUGAGCCAGAUAACAGAGUAUACCUCGAUCCAUCCUAGGAAAAUUCAUUUCAAUUUUCCAAGAUUCCUUGUUAUUCAGGUCUUGAAAGUUGAAAACUAAAUUCUGCAACUUCCUUAAAGAGCAGAUCCCAUACUAUUUUAAUAAGUUCCUGACAAUGUUUCAUCAUAGUUGAAAAAGGAGAAUUAAGUUCAGAAGAAAAUGAAGACUCAAUUCCUCAUCUAAAUCAGAAGAUGCCAAAUGACGAUUUUUAUCAUGAAAAUAACUUGCUUUUUUCAUGUUAGAAGGGAGUACAAAUUCCAAUGUUGGAAGAUUUAUGACCAUCCUUUGAGGUGAAAACGGGACAAUUCAAUUCAUCCCACGAGAAUUAUUUUCCAUUAUUCCAGAACAUGAUUGGUUGUUUAAGUCUUUAGCUGUCAAGCCAUUCCGCUAUCAAAUAAGCGAGCGUUUCAUAGAACUUUGCAAGGGUGCGCCCUUUCACCGGAAGUUCAAACAAAUCAAGAGUACAAUGAAUCCUCCAUCCUCCCAUUUUGUCCUCGCUCGAGAGCAUACCUUGCACCAACGUGACCAUUCUAAUUAAUUCGAAAAAUGUUUCCCAAAGUUUAAAUGAGAGACUGCAUGAUUAAUAAUAUGGAAAAGUUUUUUUUUUGUCACAGCGGAUAGGAAAAGCCCAUGCUGGCACAAGGCGUGGCAUAAAGGAGAACUAAACCCCAGGGAGUUAACCACGAGCCCCAGGAAUCGAUCGGUGGAAGUUGUUGGUUCGUCUCACUUCCUCUUCAUGGUUGUCCAACUGUCUGUCUCACUAUGGCAUACACGAUGACUCCCGAUGUGACGGGGAGUCACACUAUGGGGUACACCGGAUACAUACCCAAUGACAUACUCAAUAUUCAAGAUCGAACGAUGACAAAAGUUCCGAUUAGAGGUCACAGGAGAUUCUUGAAGGAACAAUUGAAUUCACUUGACAAUGAGGUGGGUAAAUUGGAUCGGGCCAGCGAAUUCGUUGAGAGAAUUCAUGAAUUUAUUGAAUGAAUACCAAUUCUCAUCAAUGGACAAAAAUUGAUAAACAAAUUUAAUCAUAAACUGAAGACUGACUGGAAAAAUUAAAAAACUAAUAAUCCAACAUCUAAGAUGAACCUCGACAUUUUAAAUGAAAACAGAAGCAAAAAAAUACGGCAGCAUCACAACAAUACACUCAAUUCAAUGAUCGAGGGAUAAUCCAGGGAUCCAGGUAAAUAAUCCAGGUACUUGACACUUGAAGCCCCCCAUAAACUCCUGUUUACGUCGACAUUUGGUGCAUAUUGUCUACUUUACCCUGGAAUAAUCAACCGGGAUUUGCCGACUGAGAUUAACAUCAACGUAAUUCUGUCGAUAAAGUCAGAAGAAUAAUCAACUGCUCUGUGACAUUGAAUGAAAAUUCUCAUUGACAAAGCCAAAUACCCAAAACAAUCCAAACGUUCAACUGAAUAAUCAGAUAAAAAUCACUUCUCCUCCUUUCUGAAUGGUGAAAAGCAAAAACAACAUAAUUGCAUAUGCGGAUUCACUCGCGUUAAUUCAAUUGAUCCUUAAGCCGCAUGACACGAGGCCAGCAAUUCAAAAAAGGUUAAUACGAUAAAUCAAGUGACAAGAGGAAUGCCUUUGAACCAACGCACGUUGUAAUUCAAAUGGAAGAAACAUUUUAAUGACUGCCUAUCAAUUAAAUAGCUUCAUCCAGCAGUUGAAAAACCGAGUAAAGUAGCAUGCAACGAUGUUAGUGACAUAAGGGACAGAGGAUCCCUAUUUGAUAGAAUCGUUUCCCCUACAUUCUACCCACCACAUACAAAAGAUACUCAAUAGGAAGAUGCUGGAAAACUCUAGCCCCGGAAAUUACAUGUCCACACAAUCACUCUGAGCCCAUUGUAAAUGGACUAUCGAUAUUCCAAUGAAAUCUCCGUCAAAUUUAAUAGAAAGGAGAAAUUCAUUUCCCCGUUUCAAUUUGCGGACAGUUAAUUGAAAAACAAUGAAUGAAUUUUCCACUCCGAUUUAUUCCACUCUUUUCAAUUCCCUCUUUAUAAUUCUGAAAAAUAAAGGGAGCUUUCCUACUACUGUUUAUCUGCUUCUUCCUUUUUCCUUCAGUCUUCUGCCCCCGUGAUCUCCCUUUUCCCCCCGUCCUCUCUCACCCACAUGCUAAAGAAAGUCAGGACAAUGUACAACCGCUGUGUGACAGCAGCUGAGCAGAUGUCCCUCGACAGAAACGUUUGCAAGGAUACUCGAAUUCCUCUGGCAAACAGGAACCAACAGUGCUUUGGAAUAAAUAAAUGUGACGACCAGAUGCUUAUGACGUCACAAGGUCUGGUAAAUUCUCAACCAAUUGCACACGAAUUCAGGUCAACUGAACCUGCUGGGCGGAAGGAUCAGCCAAUGGAAGAUUAGGAUUACUUUUUCUGCCCGUCGUCAACCACUGGAACUAUUUAUCUCCAACUCUGUCACAUGAUUGGAAAAUUUACUUGAAAAUUGUCGGAUAUUUUACGGUUUCAAAAUUCAAGUAGUUCCAGUUACUCCCAGAUCUAUUCUGUAUCCUCACGGUUCAGAAGACGAAUUUUUGAAAAUCAUCUCAAGAUACCUUAAGAUCCUUAAUAGAGGAUUAGAAUUAGUUUUUGGACUCCGGGCACGAUCCGAUACGAUACGAUAGAACUAUAUUAUCCCACUUGGACUUUGGAACUUCGUGAUCGGAUAUUUUCCUAUUUCUAACAAGUACCAACAAAACUAUGGAAAAUGGAAGCUCGCAACUAGUUCUGUCAGUUCUCUGGAAUAAAUAGCUACGACAACCGAAUGGGGAUCGAUCCCUACCGCAGCAACUAUGUCCUGGCAAUCUCAAGAUUUAUUACAAUACGAUAUUUUAAGAGAGGAAAAUUAUUUCAGGAUCAUGACUGAGCAGUAGUUCUGUUUAUUAACGUUUUUUAGCGCCCGAUGGAUAGUAUGAGUUUCCAUAUUUGAAAGGUCAAUGACGUCAGCGAAUGCAGGACUCCCCAAAUUGCUGACACCCGGCCAAUGGAGAUCUUGCACAUCGAUAUUCGGACGUCAUCAGAAAUCUGGUCGCAAAAACGACUGACAUUACCCGAUAUUUGUUGGUUUAGCUCUUUUAUGCGGUAUAAUGUUGAAAAAGUUGAGAUAAUAUUUAUUGAGAGUGCUUGAUAUGUGUGGACAAAAAUGAAUUGUCUGUCUAUAGCUGUUUUCAGUCCAUCUCAGUAUGUUAUUGUUUUUAUAGUUUUUCUCCGAACAGUACCGAAAUGUCUAGAAUGGUUUUAAUGAAUAGAACCAGAGAAGAAACAGAAAGGAAUGAAUGAGCAAGGGCCUUUUGUCAAAUGGGUCUAGAGUGUCAAAUCUUUGGUCACUGAAAGUCAGUUGAUCUGUCUGGAGACAUCAUACGAGAAAGAUAUACCUUCUGCGUGCGAUAAUAAAGAAUUAAAGUUGAUAGUUAAAUCGUUUUUAUAUUAUUGAGACAAUCCCUAUCCAUAAUCCAAUAAUAUUCAAUGAUAAUUUCGAUCGAAAUAAUUAUUAAUGAGAUUUGUUAAUUAUUAUCUUUAGUAUGAGCUGAAUAUAAUCAAAUAUACAGUGGUUAUAAAUUAAAAAAUCAUGGGUAAUCGCAGUGAACGUAGCCGGUAAUUGCAACCUAUAAAUUAUUUCCCAAUAUGAGCUACAUAUUGACUUUUAACAAAUGGGCUUUGAAGCUCUUAACAAAAUUGGUGUCUUUACUAUGAAUGGACCCUAUCCAUGGGAAUGUGGGGAGAAUGGAAGAUUGACCUCUGUGGGAGUUUUCCACUUCCGUGAUGAAUUUCCCUUCUAAAUGUUUUUCUUUUCGAGCUGUCAUUAAUACAAUGAAAAGUAACACAUUCAUUUUCAUCCAUGUGGUCAAUUAAUGCAUGACCAUAUAAUUCAUAUUUGCAGUCAUCGAGGUACAGAAUCAAUUGAUCAUAAUUCCACGACGUUCCAUUUUUUAGCUUAAAAAAAUACGUAGCAAUUAUUUCCUAUAAACUUUCUGUACCCUUCAGUUCAAUGGAUAAAGUCACGCGACUAUUGUUAAAGAUGAAGAAAUUCCCAUCAUUUAAUCGUUGGAUAUUUCUCCGAAACAUCAAACUCCUCUCCAUCAAAUUUUUCUUAUUUUGAAAAACAACAUAAAUAUGUUUAUUCAUUUUUAUUCCUCAUUUGUGAUCAACAAUCGGUCAUUAUAGUCAUCAUGGCCCAGGAUAAAUUGGCCAUAAUUCCGCGAUUCACUAUUAUUUUUAACGUACAAAUACGCAUCUGUUGUCCCCCAUAAAAAAUUUGUAUUCCAUCAUUCAAAUCAAUGAAUAAAAUCGGGGGAGAAUCCAGUCAACGAUGAAGAGCUUUCCUUCAUCCUCAACUUGAACAUUUCCCUAAAAGAUCUCAAAGUUCUCUCUGACAUGUUUGUCCGAUUUUUAAAUUCAACUCUCAGCACAUUUUUUCUCCUGAUUUCUUGGUCUGAUUCCCCAAGCAAAUCGUACCUUGCCCUCGUUUUUAUUUCUUAUCUCAGCCAUUCGUCUCCGCCAAAAAUAUCUCAAGCAUCGAACACCGAUUUAUCCAUUUUUUUUACAUCGGAAAUGUCGAAUGGAUGCAUCAAAAAUAAAUCAGCGAGAUAAAACUCGCUGAAUUCUUCCUUCUCUUCGUGAAGUUAAAUAUCCCCUCCCCCUCUCCAUAAAAAUAACUUUUCUCAUUUUAUCUCUUCAACAAUCUCCACUAUUCCAGAAGCGUUGUCUAUUGGAUUUGAAAUUUGCAUCGGCCAUGCCGUUGAAAAAUUUAAUACUCGGAAAUAGGCAAUGCACUACCUACAAAAGAGGUGGAAUAUCCUCAAAAAGUGAAAUAAGAGUGCAUUCAGGCGGUUCAUGCCGAUAGGCAAAAAACCCAGAGCCUCUCCACCCCAUAGCACGCAAACGCAAGACUCGAAUUACACUAGACUAUCGAGACAGAACACAAUGUUCGGAAGAGACCAAAUCAAAUGACCAUUUAUUUUUAUCCAACUCGAUACGAUAGAGUCAGCGUCAAUGACUCUUCGAUUAAAUUUGUUUAUCAAUGGGGCCAAUCAACCCAUCUCCAUUCACAAAAAAAUCAAUAAUAAAAGCACUCGACAAACUUGUAGGAGCAAGGUCGUUAGACUAUUGUAUCGAUUCUCAAAUUGAUAAGAGAAAAAAUACUCCUAGACACGCGACUGCUGCAUAACGUGCCCCCCAACUUUUUCCGUCAAAUCGACAUUCGACGUUUUCUAAAAUAGCUGGUAUUUAUUCAAUUGUCAACAACUCCUGACCGAACGAUGCAAUUUCGAUGAGUAAGGACUCAUUUUGAAAUUUACAAAAGUACGUUCAAAAUGUAAAGAAAAAAAUCCUGGAAUUUCCCUGCUGCUAUCGAACUGUUGACGACUAGCGAUUUUCCUAUGUAACGAUUUAAACUUCGAUUUGCUGAAAAAUUGAAUCAUCAACAUUAGCAGAAUAAAAAUGUUAAACUUUCCGAUAUAAUUAUGAAUAUUCAAUACCGAAGGCAUUAUUCCACAAUGUAAGAGCCCGCACGAACCAAACGAAAAGAAAACAAGGGAAAAAAAAAUCUAAAAUUGCUACCCGUAGAAAUGACAACCCUCUCAUUCUUUCCCCACGAAUGAGGGUGUUGGUAAGAUGAUGACAGUAGUCUCGCAUUGCUCAUAAUAUCCAGUGUCACGACACCAUAAAAAGAAAUACUGAAAAUUCCUUGCUGUACAGAUAACAUUUUUCCCUAUACGUGUAUACCACCCAUGUGUAUCGAUCCCCCCCAGGUUGCAGUUGUACAGUGUUCAUGUGAAAGAAAAGAGUGAGAUAGAGGGGCAACACCGUGCGCCACCGUGUUCUGUCCUUCUCGAGGGAGCGGCGCUCAACGGAGAGGGCUUGUGUGUAGCUUGUUGUUACGGAUUACCCCUGGGAUAAUCCUAUCCCCACCACCUUGACUAUUCCCGAUGCAUCGUACUCAAGAGUAAGAUGUGGAGCGACUUACGAUGACAAAAUACUCGACCGCAGAAGAAUGAAAAAGGAUAAAAAAUAUGCCUAAUUGGUCUAAUCGUUACCGCUCGAAAGAUACGAUAAUCGAAUUUGCAAAAUGUCUUUAUUCUCGAUCGCAGUGACGGGCCAGUCAUCCAAGGAUUCAAGGAUCAUUUGUUUUCACUCGCAAUAUUGCAGUUACCGGACCGCCAUUGAUGACAAUAAUCGCGGCUUUGUCGGGUAAUUGGAGGUAAAAUGACACUUACCUUUGCUUGUUCUCAGUGAGAAAUCCAAAUAUUUAAACAACACGAUUAUUGUGACACUCUCGAGUUUCCGUAGAUCACAGAACGGAGCCCGGAGCUCAACUCUCGGCGACUACACCGGCCACUCUGUAUAUGCGCGAUAGGAGAUUCUGUUGUAGAUGGCGAUGGGGCAGUGGGGGUUUUUCACAAUAGCCAAUGGGGCUGCACUUCCGGUAUCACCUAUUUUUUAAGUUGGGGAUUACUGCAGAGAUUACAGGGGAGAUCACUGACGCUUAUGGAGUAGCAUCAACCACACAAUUUCGUAGCGGUGGCGCAUGAACUACGAGGAUGAAUGUGCCUGCUGGUAAAGUAUUACCACAGAGUACGUGGCACUGAAUUCGUGAGGCUAUUUGCCAUUGUUCUACGGCUCCUGGUAUAUUCUAAAAUCCGUUAUGACUUUUGUCGUGUUUUUCUUGGCUCCUGGAGCUCUUAGAGCGAAAAGCCCAGAGAGCCACGAUCUUCGGGACGAUGUCUUACCGACAGACACGUCCACUGUUGUAGUUCAUGCACCACCGCUGUGAAAUUUCGCGGUUGAAGCCGCUCCAGAAGCGUCAGCAAUGUCCCCCAUAAUCUGUGGUUAGUGCGCGCGCGAUUGUUAGUUAAUUAUAAUAAAUGUAACUUGGAAAACUACUGGCAAAACAUAGACCAUUAACUUUUAGCUAAAAUUAAUUAUUAUAGGAGAAAUAUGAAGUCCAAUUUAUGUAGAUGAAAAGUCAUGUUUUUAGUGAAUGUAAUAUGCCGGGUCUAUGUAGACUUUUGUCUAUUUCAAAUUUGAUUUGUAUUGUUUUACAUUCUGAAAUCUCACUUACGAGAAAGUAAUUUGUUUUUUCAUAUGAUCUUUUAUAUCAGUGAGAAAAAGACGAUUUUUGUACGUGAGGCAUGCAAAGACUGCAAUUUUUCACUUGCGGUAUAAAAAACAUUCUGUUGUUUGAUAUAGAUGGUUUAAUUUCAGGAUUGAAAAUUCAAUACUGUUGUAGGGAUAACAUUGCGGAGUGUAGACGUCUCCCCACGUUGGAAAAUUAUUCUUAACUAGACUCACGAUAUUAAUUCCUGUAGUCUCCAUGGGAAAGACUACGAUGUGGGCUCAGUUUCUGGGGCCAUUGGAGGGGGAUAAAUAUGUAUGAGCCACUGUAUGCGGAAGAGCGGAAGUCACCGGAAGCUGACGAGAUUGCGCAGUUUUAUCUUUUUAAUUCCCCUCCGUUAUUUCUACUUUGGGUAUUUAUUUUUAGAGACAGGUAAAAUUUUAUGAAGGCUUUCAGAGCACAGCUUCUUGAGUUUUCAGUGUUUUUCAGGACGCCCAUUGUCGUAUUGAAGUGACAUGUUUAUUGUCAUCAUCGUUCUCCAUUAAAAAAUGAAUAAGAAAAAAUUCGGUGUCAUUACGCGACAGAUCAAGGAUUAAUGAGGACUGAUAAAAAUAUCUGGAUACAGUUAUUGAACAUUCCCAGGGCGCAAAUCCUUCUUUUCAAAGCCCGAAGAAGUUCUCUCAGCUAUUUAAGACUAACCCUUUUAAUUGGAUAAUUAGAUUACUCCAUUUCCCAUUUAAAAAUUAAGGAGCUAUUAGACCAUGCAGAAUCUCCAGAGCAUGCCCCUCCAAAUAAAUCAGACUCGUGUUUAUCCCAGUUUCUCUAUGUAUUUUCAACAAAAAUUAAAGUGAUUAUUCGAUAAUAUGGAUUGAUAAUAUUUCUUUCAAUAAUAUAAUAAUAAUAAUAGUCAUCCCUCAGUCAUUUGAACGGGAAUAAUGCACUAACACGUUUGAACUUAUAAGUCAUAAAUUUGUAUCUCGUUAAAAAAAAAUAAUAAACAAGAUUGACACACCUAUUCUUCAUUUCACCAUUCACUCUGCACUUCAUUUAAUCUGAUAUCAGGAUGUGUGUACGCGUGCGUUUUCUCUACCUCUGUCAUAAAUUCAUGUGACUAGUUCUUUUAAAAACUUUACAUUUUUCACUUUAUUUUUUUUUUUUCAAAAUAAAAACUAACAUAUGUAUGUCAACUCAUUAUUCAUAUUUACAUAUGUAUAUUACUUUUCCCUUCAAUGUUAUAUAAAACUUUUAUCACUUUCACUAUGAAAAAACAUUUUCUCUACCUGGAAUGAUAAUUCUGAAGGGCGCAACAGGUAUGUGUGUACUAUUUACGAUCGAAAAAAAAAAUUGUUCAUUGAUGUCGAAGUUUUAGAAAAAUUAAAUGAUAAUUGACUAAUGGAGGAAAUUUCUUUAAAAAAUUUUGCGUAUCAAUUGUGUCGAGAUAAGGCCACUAGUGGAUGAUACGAAUACAGUACAAACAUUAGGAUGAGGACAGUGUCAUAAUCAUAAAUAGUUCUGAAUCACUGACAUUAUGCCCUUUAAGAGAAAAUAAACAAAGUACUAUUUACUUCGUAAAAAGAAGAUAAAAUCACGCAACACAUCUCUGCAACUCUCGUUUUCUCUCUCUCUCUCUCGUUCAAUUUUUGUCACUUGGUCUCUCGCAACGGAGAGAGAAUUUACUCGCUUUAUUGUCACAGGCUUGUGCUGCCAAAUAUCAUUGCGAGAAUAUUAACGUCGAGGAAAGUUCUAUUUGUGUUCCUCAUACAGACAAAAACAAUUUAUAGAGGAAGCCUGUGAAUUCACUGGAAAAUUCUGUGGAAUUUUCCAUAGAGUUUUUGCAGACUAUUGGAAAAUGUUGUGGCCUAUCUACGUGAUAUUUUGAGUAUGAAUUCUAUAGUGCAAAAUAUAGUAUGAAAAAACGAAAAGUAACGGAUUUUUUUAUUACGCUUCUUCUACCCAGACAUUUUCUACCAAUAAUCCGCGGCUUAAAUUUCUGGACUUUUUUCUUGUUUAUAAAAAGAGAUGAAAAAUAGAGUAAAAACUUGAAAAAUUCAUGUCAAGAAACUUCUAUACAAUGUCACAAUAGAAAAAGUUGUAUGAAAAAAUUAAACUGUAGGGAUUUUUUCUGUAACCUAGUUUCUAGUAGACAUUGUUGGUUUGAAAAACGUUGUAAAGGUAAUUUCUCAAUAUAAUUGACCACAAAAACUGAUUUUCUAUCGAACUUGAACAGACAUGUAACAGAAUUUUCUAGCGAAUUGACAAAGUUUUUCUAUAAGAUUUUUUUGUACAAUUUGCUAUUUCAAUUCAAUUAUUCGCAAAAAUCACCACUUUAGACGCGAAAAUCUGCGCAUUCUUCUCGAUAAUAUGAAUCUAAAAAAUGUACGAUACGCACUUUCAGAAGAUAGUCUUUAGUUACAUGAGAAAAAUCAGUGUAGGAUUGUUAAUUCGAAAUAGUCAUCUGAGAUCUCUCGUUGCUCACGAAAAUUAUGAAAAAAAAAGACAGUAUUAAAAGACAAUUACACGUAGGUGUGAGCAAUUAAUUUGCCUAUCAUUGGAAAUUAUUUUAAAUAUCCAAAGAGCCUUGGCUAACAUACUACUGCAUUAAUUUCAGUAUGUGGUGAGUAAAACCAGUACAGGCCCUCUAGCCCACAGCCAGAUUGCUAUCUGGCUCAAAUUGUAUGUUACAAUGUUGAUUCGUGAAUUACAGCUGUGUCUGGAUCACUGUGGGCAUUCUGAAUUAUCGCUGCUGGUUGGUUUGGUGUCAGUGUUAUUGAGGACGUCUUUCUUACUGGUUUUGGUGAGGCCUAGAAUAACAAAAGCAGAUGUUAAGAAGUGCAAAACAAAUUUUGGGCAGAUGGAAUAAACUAAUUGUGCAUAUCCAGCCAUAAGUAAAUGUUACUUGUCUAUAUUACAUGAACAAUAAAAUAUAUCUAUUAAAUGAAAUGAAAAUUUUAUAACAGUGAUAUUUUCUCACAGCACAAUAAAAUCUGGGAAACAAAUCGCUUAUGAAAAUAGUAUAAUAUCCUUUGAAUUUAUCUCUGCAAAUUUCUUAAAGGUGUUCGUCCACAAAAAAAUGAAUACCAUGAGAAUCCUCUAAAGAAAAAGGAAUGAAACCGCAUAAAGCACUAUAAUUCACCGCCCAUUACACAACUAACCCAUUCUCUCCUAGACGGUGCUUCAUCAUCAGAAUAAUGAUCAAUCUCCCCCGUCUCAUCUCCAAUUUCCGUAGCGACGUGCCUCUUACUAGGCUGUAGAGUAGCAUAAUUACGACAUCCACGAUUAAAAUUAUUAAGAUUUUUCUCCUCAACAAUUUUCUCCUGGCAGAGUACCUCCUGCGACUUGCUCUGCUUAUUAUUCGUAAUAACUCCACUAUUUUUAUUAUUGAAAUAAAAUGGUGGCAUCCUUGAUACCCAGUGAUCGAUGCCAGACCCGGUAGAACUGGUGGAAGCUGCAGAAGAAUUGCCAGCCGAAUUGCUGCUCCUUCUUUGAUAAAACAGCAUGUAGGCAGCAUUUGUAAUUAAAUUAGUGUCAUUGACAGCCUCGACCCUAGUGUCAUCAAAACAGUACCACUGAGUGUCGUAAGGAUUUCUGCAGAAGGCAGUGUAAUGACCACCCUGUAAGUCCUGUCCAUGGUGAUUGCAAAUAGCGUAAAGGUCGUAGACAUUCUCAUCGUACUUUGGAAUAUUGUGAUGACGCGUUCGUGGUUUUUUCCAGGGAGACCAGCCUAAUGCUCCAAGUGUUGUAACAUUUGUGUGAUUUGGUUGGACCCCACCAUGCGCCAGAUGAGGUGUCAUAUCGAAACCGUAAAGAGGAAAGUCCACGAGCAUUGUCAGUUUCGAUGUUGAUCUUUGUUUUGCGGUCUGCUGACGAAACCUUUUCAGAUGAAUCACCAGGAUGUCGGGCAGCGACCACAGUCCCAACUUCUUUACCACCUGACAAAUGAAAAAAAAUCAUAAACAUUGGAAAAUAUUAGAAGGUGUGGCAAAAUGGAAUGUAUCAUCCCCUAAAAACCCCAAUAUCUUUCUUCAAAAACUUGAAUUAAAAACUGAAACUUCGGCUCAAAGGUUGACCGUCCAUUUUUUAGGUGGUGUCCAUCUAUUGCGCAGGUUACCCUAAAUUGCAAAUAUUCCACUCAAUGUAAUGAGAAUAUAAUAUUGUGCAUUAGGUGAUAUUGCCUUACAUUUGAUGAGAAAGAGAAAAACUAUUGCAAUUUUAGAUUUCAAUGAAAAGUUGAGAAUAAGGAAAUGAAAAAUAUUUAAGAAAUACUGGGGAAAGCGGGACAAAGUGGAAUGUUUACUAUCGACUUUAAUCCAUUGCUACACCAAGAUGACGAAAAGUAUUAGUGUGAGCGAAGUGGGGAGUCAUGAGGUGUAUUCAUACUACUACAAAAAGACAAAAAGUGGAGUAGUGUGAUGCAUUGCAAUGGGUUAAGUCUCAAUUUCUGAUUGCAAAUAAAGAUAGUAAAAAAUGAAGCAAAUUAUCAACUUUUAACGAUGGAAUUCCUUGUACUUUCAACGUAGCUAUCAUUUCGUAAAAAAAUUCUAGAAGUGUACGGAAAUUUUCCACUAAAAUUACGGACAGUGCCAAGCAUCCUCAGCUCCAAGGAUCUCCUCUCUUGUAUACAAAUCAAAACAUUCCUCCAGGGUAACUGUUCCCCCUAACUCAGCGUUAGUCUUGAGUUGUUUGACACUCGCGUGUUCUUCGAUCUGAU